CUACAUUUCUGGCCCCCUGCUCUGUGUCACUUCCCAUUGGCUCUUUCUCUCACAACAGAAAAUGAAAAUGGUUUUUCUUUUUUUUUUUUUUUUAAUUUUCCUUUUACUUGCUCACUCACGGCCAUAUAACCUACAACACAGUUACACCACCAUCGCCAUCGUUAAGGCUUUUAACAGAGGAAUUCACUAGAAAAGUUGUGGGAGAUAGAGAGAGAGAGAGAGAGAGAGAGAGAGUGAUUAGAUUUUAUGUCCUUGCUCUGUCCUUUUUUUUUUUUUUCUGUGUACAUGAUCUGAUUGAUAAAAUACAUAUACGAAUAUUUAUAUAUGUGAGUUUUUAAGCGGUAUAUUUUGUUUCUAUGGGUUGUUUUAGUUAUCUUCUUGAGGUUGGGGAGUGAUUUUCAGAUUUGAGAACAGGGGAGAGUGGGGUGAUUCAUCAGAUUUGAAAUUUGGUCGGCUCUUUCUGAGCGAUGAAAGGUUUUGAGUGAGUUCUGAUUUAUCGUGUGCUAUUUUUUUUUUUUAAUUUUUGUGAAGCUUUAAUUCAGUUGGAGAACACUUGUUUUUUCUGUUCAAUUUUUGAGUUUUGAAUUUUGUUUUUAGCGCAUCAGAUCCAGCUUGAAUUCCGGGUAAAAAGUUUCAGCUCGUGAAGUAUCUAUCUCCCAGGAAAACUCCAGUUUCUCCAGAAACAAACUUGGGUCUUCUCUUUAUCUUUCUGGGUAACUUCAUUUACGAGAAUUAGUCCAGGAAAGCUCUUAACAAUUCAUUUCUAAAAAUCCUUAUCUGUCAGCACAAGCAAACAGAAUUGGAAGAAGAAGAGGAAGAAGAAGGGAUUAAUGGAGUCGGAUCUUCACCACCGCCGCCACCAUCUCGCCGACCACCAACCUCUCUACGACCAAAAACCAAUGAAUUCUGGCUUGACGCGGUACCAAUCGGCGCCCAGUUCAUAUUUCUCAAGUUUCUCAGACAGAGACUUCUGCGAAGAGUUUCUGAACCGGCCUACGAGUCCCGAAACAGAGCGAAUUUUCGCUCGGUUCUUAUCUGCAACCUCUGGUAAUACCGACAACGCCAUACUAGACCAAAGCUUCAGGGACAUCAGAGACAGCUCUUCAGUGAAGGAACCAGUCAGAGAGAUGGAGCCGCAAACUCAGAUAAUGGCGACCAUUAAAACUGAAACAGAGGUCUUGCAGAAGCAAAAUAGUUACUCCUCUGUUUCUCAGAGCUUCUAUCAGACACACCAGGCACAAAAUCAGCAACAAUUGCCGAAUCAAAAUUCAGGUUCGGGCAUGGAUUACAGAAUGGAGACAACAAUGAGGAUGGAUCGGUUACCACCCACGAAGACUGGGGGAGGAAAUAGUACACCCAAUCUCAUUCGCCAUAGUAGCUCACCCGCAGGGUUGUUCGCCAAUAUAAACAUCGAUAACAGAUUUGGUGUGUUGAGAGGAAUGGGUGAUUUCGGGAGUGGAAAUAAGAGGGAGUCAUCUUUUACAUCUGCAAUCAGGCCACCAUCUUCUUCGUCGGGACUGAUGCAGACAAUUACAGAAAUGGGUGAGAAAAACAUGGGAGGAAAUAGUCCCGAAAAUGCUGGUUUAUACACGGUUGGUUCUUGGGAUGAGGUUGCAAUUUUGUCAGAUGAGAUUGCUGGUGUGAAGAGAAUUAGAGACGAUGACAAAGCUCUCACUAAGAAUGUAGAGGCUGCAAGUAUGAGACCUCCCCUUUUGGCUCAUCACUUGAGCUUGCCGAAAUCCAGUGCUGAAAUCAGCGCCAUUGAGAAAUUCUUUCAAGAUUCUGUGCCCUGUAAGAUAAGAGCCAAGCGCGGUUGCGCCACCCACCCGAGAAGUAUCGCCGAGAGGGUUAGAAGAACUCGGAUUAGCGAGAGAAUGAGGAAACUACAAGAUCUUGUCCCCAACAUGGACAAGCAAACGAACACGGCCGACAUGCUAGAUCUUGCUGUUGAUUACAUCAAGGAUUUACAAAAACAAGUAAAGGAUCAGGUACUUUCAACCAUGCAGCAGAAGCUUGACAAUUUGUGUGAACAGUUGAAUAAUGUUAAGGAACAGUCAGUGAACAAAAAGACAGAGUCACUGUUCACAGAAAAUCUUUGUUCUGAUAAAAUUUCAUUUAUCGACUGUGGUUGUUGGCUCUGUGAUCAACAUCAUGACAUUUUCACUGGAUUGGUGGGUACCAAUUUCAUGAAAGCUUGUGGUGAGGAGAAGGAGAUGCUUCACGUUUCAAAACCUUUUCUAAGUGCAUCAGUAGCAGAACAAGAAGAACGGAGGAUGUCUGAUCUGUCGGAUUGGUCUUUUAGUGUUGCAUCUUCAGCAGAACUCCAGCUGAAUAACUUGGCAAUUGAACAUGAUAUAUUCAAUCUGAAGAAGGACUGUGAAGAGAAAGAUGCCACCAUAAAGGAGCUCACCUCCUUUCUUCAGUUAUCUAAUAUGGCUGGUUCAAAGAGGAUGUCAGAAUUGGAGGAUGUCAUUCGCAGGAAGAACAUGAUAAUUACAAGGCUGAAGAAGGACAUGGUGGUUUUAGAACAAAAGGCAGUGAACCUUACAAGGAUCCGCAGGCCUUCCUCUACCUCAAGUUCAAACAGUUGGCAACUUCCAACCAUGGCAGAGAACCUCCUUUAUGAUAUGGAUAGUACUACAAGUCCAUCCUCUUCUGAUUCAGAUAGCUCACCAUCAAACCAACCACACACUCCUAGUGCCAAGUUGGUUCCUGUUCAAGGUCUUGACUUAGAGCAGAAGUCAGCGACAGAAAAGUCCUCGAGUUAUUUGGCGAAAUCAAAUAAUAUUCAUAUCAGUUCUCAAUCAGCAACUCCUCUUAAAGAACUAUCUACUAACCAGAAGCUCAAAAUGCCUUCUUCUCCAAAACAAAGACAGUUGUCAUCAGUUAGGGGGGACUUCAAAAAGAGUAAAAGGCGAAUUCCAAGUGCAUCAAAAGGAGCAGCUUCUCAGAAAAGAUGGGUAUAGAUGGUAAGUGCUGUGCAACUUUUAUGAUUUGUAAUUGAUUCUCUUUCAACUAGUUACACUUUUAGUUUAAUUACUUCUUGCUAUAUAAUCAUAGAGGAAAUCUUCCAAGUUGGAAAUGCAACAUAUCCAAACUCAUUUACUGGACAUAGCGUAUGUCUAAUGUUACUAACUUGCUAUCAAAAUUUUAGGAAGUUUAUCAUGAAAUUAUCGUACUUCUAAUACAUCAUAGAUUUUCCCGGGGUGAAGAUCCCGUACUUCCAUUUUCUAAUUAAUAAAAAUUACCUAGUGUCUGCAUUGUAUGCUAUCAAAACAAAAUCGGUGUUGCAACAAAUGCAACAAAAUCCAGAGUCAGUUUACUGUUUUGGUAGGAAUAGACCAAAGUAACUUUGUCAGAUAUAUUCUUUUUCUGAAUAUGAAAUCUUAGAAAGUUACCAUAGGGUGGAGUUUUACCAUAUACACCUUCGAUGUAUCAUUGAUCUUCUCAGGCAGGAGGCAUAUAAUGCCAACUUGCCAAGUGCAAAUUCUAAAUUUGCAGAGUAACAAUUUAAACAGCUCGAUGAUGAAAUUUGGGAUGUGGAGAACAGAUUCUUAGCGUGCAAAUCACCAUGGAAAUUCGUUGAGUAGGCAAUAGACCCUCCUUCAGACUGUCUGGAGUCUUGGCUCUUGAAUUCUCAUUACUGGAAUGAUACUUCAAUCUUUGGAUUCUUAGAUGAUAUACAUGAUCAUCAGGAUUCAGCUGCAAAAUAUAUUUGCAGUUCGGAGGGAAUUCGUCAGAGUAAUAUGAACUGAUAUCCUGGCCAGAGAUUAACAAGGGUAUAUAUAUAUAUAUAUAUAGGUGCAUCGU